rnacentral:rRNA from 1 species
AUUGAACGCUGGCGGAAUGCUUUACACAUGCAGGUCGAACGGCAGCACGGGGGCAACCCUGGUGGCGAGUGGCGAACGGGUGAGUAAUACAUCGGAACGUGCCCAGUCGUGGGGGAUAACGUAGCGAAAGCUACGCUAAUACCGCAUACGAUCUACGGAUGAAAGCGGGGGAUCGCAAGACCACGCGCGAUUGGAGCGGCCGAUGGCAGAUUAGGUAGUUGGUGGGGUACGGGCUCACCAAGCCAACGACCUGUAGCUGGUCUGAGAGGACGACCAGCCACACUGGGACUGAGACACGGCCCAGACUCCUACGGGAGGCAGCAGUGGGGAAUUUUGGACAAUGGGCGCAAGCCUGAUCCAGCCAUUCCGCGUGCAGGAUGAAGGCCCUCGGGUUGUAAACUGCUUUUGUACGGAACGAAACGGCGCUUUCUAAUACAGAGCGCUAAUGACGGUACCGUAAGAAUAAGCACCGGCUAACUACGUGCCAGCAGCCGCCGUAA